AGACUUGGCCAGCAGCAGCUACACCCCUCCGUACCUCAGAGAGACUGCAGACGAGUGAGAGCAGCUGCGUGUGUAGAGGAAUAGUAGGUGACAGCACAACCCCAGGCUCCCUAGAGGGGACAGAUAGGAGUCGUUUUAAAGCAAAUGACAGGGGGCUAUGGAAUGCUUUCAGGCUGGGCCUUAAGGGGACAAGGAGGCAAGGCUACCCAGAGAUCAGAAUCAAGCCAACAUCACCCAGCCACAUCUGGCUCCAGAAAGAUGCUCCUUCUGCAAGACCCAGAAGAGAAACUAAGCCCUCAAACAUGCAAGCUAAAGAGGCUGAAGUCCAAGAUGGAAGACCUGGUAGACAGGGUUCCUCACAGACAGCACCUACUGUGUGCCCACGCAUGGCCCAGAGGCCUGCAGUGAGGCAAGACAUCAUGAUCAGAACAUACGGUGAGGCAAAACCACUCAUCUCAUCAGCCAGGGAACAGAGGCCAAGAUGAAAGGACCGGUGUCACCACAAUCACCAGUGGGGACACAUCAAAUGACUCAGAAUCCUCUCACAAGACCCAGGUUCACAAAGGCCCCACCCCCUGGAGACUUUGAGGGAACACACAGCAAACCACAGCACUCCAAACCUGAAUGAGCCCCUCUUGGGCCUAGGGCUUCCUUCCCACAGCUCAGACUGGACCACACUGCACCACCAGAGAAGUCAGUGUUCAGUAGUUUACAACCAAUGCGCUGUAACUGGCAUACCGGAAACCCUGGCGUCUCCCCUUAACGUAAAGCCAGCAUUAUCUGAGUCAAACUGUGGAAAGCAGGCAUCAGCCCAGAUUAAGACCAAGGAGGGAGCUGGAUCCGGGGCAGGCUCCAGAGAGAAAGGACAAUAACCUGGACUGUGAGAAGCAAUGGGCUGCAGCAUGGGAGGAAGAAGUCCACUGUGACACUCCUCAAAGCCACUACUGGGGAGGGUCCAAUCUGAGGGCCAGGGUAGAGAGCAUCAGCCUGCAGCUGGAGCUGGAGGAGACUUCCAGCCUGUCUCCAGCUUCACAGGGUCCAGCUAGCAAGCUGUGGAAUGCAGUCAGAAAGUCUUGGAAUUCAAUGCGUUCAGUGCUUCCUGGGGUCAUUUCAAACCUCAAGCACUUCAUCAUAGGGUCACACCAUGGUGUGCUUACAUGUCCAUCAGCUAGCUCAUAAAGUGGAUUGUUUUCUUUUUUGGUUAUUAUAACUAAUGAUGGUAUAACCAUCCAUGUCUAUGUCUUUGAGUAGAUCUUCUAUUGCUCUUGG